rnacentral:antisense_RNA from 1 species
AAAAAACCAACUGGAUCAAAGCUAUACUCAACUUCAAGAUGACUGUUUACUGAGAAAUGUGAAAUUAAUAUGAAAUAUGAAAGAAAACUCUUACUAUGUAAAUGAAUCACGGCAUCCAAGAAAGAUGUGCUGGAUGGGAACUAGAGCUCAUCUAGAUUGCAUUCUGUCUAAUCAGAUCAUAUGAAGGAGCCAAAGCUGUCUCCCCGUUAGCUCCAGAACAAAAGUAGCCUGCAGCCCACACCCUGGGGUCUGAUGAAAGGACUCACACUCCAGUCUGCAUUCCUGUUGCACCUGCCGGACCCUGCUGGCAAAAUUUCUGUUUCUUCAUUGACCAGAU